ACCACUGUCACUAUUAGGUCAUGCAUCAACCACUGUCACUACCAGGUCAUACAUCAACCACUGUCACUACCAGGUCAUGCAUCAACCACUGUCACUAUUAGGUCAUGCAUCAACCACUGUCACUACCAGGUCAUGCAUCAACCACUGUCACUACCAGGUCAUACAUCAACCACUGUCACUACCAGGUCAUACAUCAAACACUGACACUAUUAGGUCAUACAUCAAACACUGUCACUACCAGGUCAUGCAUCAACCACUGUCACUACCAGGUCAUACAUCAACCACUGUCACUACCAGGUCAUACAUCAACCACUGUCACUACCAGGUCCUA